rnacentral:rRNA from 1 species
UAACCGGAUUAGAUACCCUGGUAGUCCACGCCCUAAACGAUGUCUACUAGUUGUCGGGUCUUAAUUGACUUGGUAACGCAGCUAACGCGUGAAGUAGACCGCCUGGGGAGUACGGUCGCAAGAUUAAAACUCAAAGGAAUUGACGGGGACCCGCACAAGCGGUGGAUGAUGUGGAUUAAUUCGAUGCAACGCGAAAAACCUUACCUACCCUUGACAUGGAUGGAAUCCCGAAGAGAUUUGGGAGUGCUCGAAAGAGAACCAUCACACAGGUGCUGCAUGGCUGUCGUCAGCUCGUGUCGUGAGAUGUUGGGUUAAGUCCCGCAACGAGCGCAACCCUUGUCAUUAGUUGCUACGAAAGGGCACUCUAAUGAGACUGCCGGUGACAAACCGGAGGAAGGUGGGGAUGACGUAA